GGGUCGUCGCGCGCCGCGGUCGUCGUCUGCGAACUCACAUGCUGCCGCUGGACGCCGGUGCCGACGACGACGACGACGAUGAAAAAACACUCCAAGCAGCUUGAGAAGCGCAUCGACGACCAGCGUCAGUUGCUGCUGCUGCAGCAGCGAUUGCCGGGGACGGCCGCCGACAAGCGGAGACCGUCGUCGUCGUCGAAAUGCAAAAAUGGCAUAUUGAAAAACGAGUCCAGCCCCGAACUUUCGCGGCCCGCUUCCCGCAAGUCCAGACAGUACUUCCUGGAACCCAUCCGCCGGUGGAAUUCGUUCCACAACAGCCGCGAACGCAAGUCGAAUGCCGCCGCGUCCGCGGGCACGGCCACCCCGGCCUCGCCGUCGUCGUCGUCCACUAACAACCUGCCGUACCUGCAAACCUUGGUCAACCUACAGCGAGAGUCUAAGAGCGCUUGUGCCCGAUUCGCGCAAUCCGUCUUGCCCAAAACACCGCGAGGAGCUGAAGGCACGCCAGUCCUCGGUGGGGCCUUUUCUACUUGUGUGUCUGGAGCCUCUUCUACCGCCGUUUCCGACGACGACGUUCAAUCGCCAAAAUCGCUCCAGCAGACCGGCCCCGGAUGUCCGGCAAAAAAACAAAAUUCGAGUCCGAACCUGUUGUUAGUGUACGACCGCCGGCAGCAGAGUGCCGCAGUAGGAGGGAUCGGUGGGGGAAACAGCCUGACGAAUUCGCCCCGUCGGUCGGCCAGAAGGCCGAAAACACCUCCACCUCACCCUCACCACAACCAACAACAGUUAACGGCAGCAGCUAAUAGUGGCGGCGGCGUGAGGUCGGAGUCCACUGGUUCUUCGAAAAUUCCGUUCGCCAUAAUGGUGGGCGACACGCCGAUAGUGUGCCAAGAUACCGUUCCCAGAAUCAAAGCGAUCCGCGCCGAUUCGGUGACGGAGAAAUCGUCGUAUCUGGCUGUCGAUUUGUCUCCGCACCGUCGAUACUCGUUUUGUUUUGGAAAACGAACCGGAAGCAACGCUAGACGACCCAACGAAUGUUUCGUGUUGGAACCAUCAGAGAUGCUGGUGAUGGAUUAUGCGGACUCUCAAAGCGGUCUGCGCUCGUUGAAUAUUCCCCGGCACACCGGCAUGGAACGUGGUGGGGCGAUCAACCUCGUAUUCGACGACAGCUACAUUGCUGCGAUCCGGCCUGAACUGUACCAAAAAAGCAAUCGGAGCUCACAUAGCUCGGAUACCAGUUCGGCGUAUUCGGGCAGCGACACCAUGACCAGCGUGCAUUCGGGGAGCGUCUCAGUGGAGGCAGACGAGGUUGACUUGUCGGGCCUUGUCGAGUCGAUCGUCGACUCCGAUGAAGACGACCUGGGCGAUAGCAGCGAAAGCUUGACCGUCCGAGACACUGUCCGAGAGUGCCUGGAGAAGGACCCCUCGGAGCGGGCCGAGGACGACGUCGAGGUGCUGCUCGAGUUUACCCAGCACUUGAAGGCGUUCACCAACAUGACGCUGGCCGUACGCCGGGCGCUGUGCAGUGUCAUGGUGUUCGCAGUCGUCGAAAAGGCCGGCACAGUAGUAAUGAACGAUGGUGAAGAGCUAGACUCGUGGAGCGUGCUGAUCAAUGGCCACGUCGAGGUCGAGCACGCUGAUGGCGUUCCCGAUCAGCUGCAUAUGGGCGACAGCUUUGGCAUAGUGCCUACCAUGGAACGACUGUACCAUCGGGGCGUGAUGAGAACAAAGUGCGACGAUUGUCAGUUCGUUUGCAUCACGCAGACGGACUACUACAGGAUACUCCAUCAGGGUGAGGAGAACACAAAAAGGCAUGAAGACGACGGAGGAAAAUUGGUUAUGGUUACCGAACAAAGGGGUACGCUAGAAGCUGGAAGACGGGGUCACGUAGUCAUUAGGGGAACACCGGAGAGACUGAUGCUUCAACUGAUCGAAGAAAAUUCAGUUAUAGAUCCCACUUAUGUGGAAGAUUUUCUUUUAACACACCGGACUUUUAUUAAAAACUCAAUGGAAGUUGCCAACCAAUUGCUAAAUUGGUUUAAUGAACCAUCUGCGAGGGACCGUGUUACUAGAGUGGUACUACUAUGGGUCAACAACCAUUUUACUGAUUUCGAAAUGGAUCCAGUGAUGAUGGACUUUGUAGAAAAGUUUGAAGCUUGCUUAGAAGAGAAUAAAAUGGGUGGACAAUUGAGAUUGUUAAACAUUGCUUGUGCUGCAAAGGCGAGAACUAGGUGCGUUACUCUAGCUAGACCCUCUAGGGAUCAGGUGCUACAUUUUUCCAUUUUGGGAGGAUAUGAGAGAGGAUUCGGAAUAUUUAUUUCAAAAGUCGAUAAAAAAUCGAAAGCCGAAGAGGUUGGUCUUAAACGAGGUGACCAAAUUUUAGAAGUUAAUGGACAAAGCUUUGAACAUGUAACCCAUACGCGUGCUUUAGAGAUCCUCCGAGGAACUACGCAUUUGAGUAUUACUGUCAAGUCAAAUCUUUUAGUUUUCAAAGAAAUGCUUGCAACUCCUGACAACUCACCCCGACCAAGAGGUCGACAAAAACAGUCUGUGGAAAUCGCUCGUCUUCAAGACGACCCGCGAGCACGGCCGUUGCUCACUGCUCAUCUUCCUCCACCUAUCCAGCAACCCAUUAAAACAAAUGCAUCCAACACAUCAAGUGGCGGAGGUUUUAUGACUCUCGGCCCCAAAAAACGUCUUCAGCGGGCUCUGAUGAAAAUGAAUAUUUUACCAAAAAAUAUUAUUGGUGACGUGUGUGAUGACAGUUCCGUGUCGGCUAAAUCUGACUCUAGCUCAAAUUUUAAACAGUCACAUAGCCACCCGGACUUGACCUCAAUAUCAUAUCUGGACGAUACAAGGGUAGCAGCGGAUUAUCCAGAGCACGUAUUAAAAGUUUAUAAACCUGAUCAGACUUGCAAAUACCUAUUGGUGCAUAAAGAAACUACAGCUCAUGAAGUAGUCAUGCUUGCAUUACAAGAAUUCGGAAGCAUAGAACCGAGUUCACUUUAUUCUUUAUGUGAAGUCUCAGUGUCAGAAGGGGGUAUAAUUAAACAGAGAAGGUUGCCAGACCAACUACAAAAUUUAGCAGAACGAAUUGGGCUUAGUAGUAGAUAUUACUUAAAAAAUGUCAGUAAUACUGAAACAUUAGUUGGAGAUGAACUUGCAGCUGAUUUAAUAAGAGAAAGUCAUGUACAUUUUUUACAAUUAAAUGCUGUUGAAGUGGCAGUACAACUAACACUACAAGACUUUUCCAUAUUCAGGCAAAUUGAAGCAACAGAAUAUGUUGAUGACUUAUUUCAAUUAGACAGUCGUUAUGGAACACCAAUGCUAUCUAAAUUUGCUGAAUUGGUAAAUACAGAAAUGUUUUGGGUUGUAACGGAAAUUUGCUCUGAACACAACCUUAUUAGAAGGUCAAAAAUGAUCAAACAAUUUAUAAAAGUUGCACGUCAAUGUAAGGAAUGUAAAAAUUUUAAUUCUAUGUUUGCCAUAAUUUCUGGACUUGGACAUGGAGCUGUUAGCCGUUUACGCCAAUCGUGGGAAAAACUACCCACAAAAUAUCAAAGAUUAUUUAGUGAUCUUCAAGAUUUAAUGGAUCCUUCACGGAACAUGAGUAAAUAUCGUCAACUAGUCAGCAACGAACAAUCUCAACCUCCAAUUAUUCCAUUUUAUCCAGUAGUUAAGAAAGAUUUAACAUUUAUUCAUCUUGGUAAUGAUACACAUGUAGAAAGUUUGAUUAAUUUUGAAAAGUUAAGAAUGAUUGCCAAAGAAGUUAGAAAUCUAACAAACAUGUGCUCAUCACCUUAUGACUUACUUACAAUGUUAGAACUUGGUGGACAACCUACAUCUAAUGCAAUGGUAGCAUUGAAUCAACUUACUACAGGUGUAAGUGGAAGUGCUCAUCAGGGAGGUGCUGCCACUUUUAAAAGAAGAAAAAAAUCAACUGCAGCCCCAAAUCCAAAAAAGAUGUUCGAAGAAGCCCAAAUGGUAAGAAGAGUUAAGGCUUAUUUGGCAAAAAUGAAAGUACUCACUGAUGAAGAAAAAUUACAUGAACUAUCAAUGAGUUGCGAAGGUUCUAGUACUGGUGGAUCUAUAAUGGGAUCUGGGCCAAUAAGAAAACGUCAUCCAUCACCUACUCUUUCAACAGCUAGCAGUGCUAGUAGUGCCAGUGAAGGCUUGAAGAAUACUGGUCCUAAAUUUGGUUCUGCUUCACCACAAGCUGUAAAAAAGUUAUUGUCGUUGAGUGAGCCAAGCAAAACCAGACUACAUCAACCCAGGUAUCAUAUGGCACCUUCUCCAGGUCCACCAACUCGUCGCAAUGUCCACCAACCACCUAGUGUUCCAGCAACAUCUCAUGAACGUUCUCAUUCAGAUACUACCCCUCUAAACCCACCUCCACCAUUACUCUUAUCAUCCGUUGAUCUGAAUGCUGAAAGCAGUAGUGUUACUAGUUUAUCAAACCUGUCAUUAAGAAAGACUGUGACAUCUAUUUGUCCUAGCGGGUUCAGUGACGUCCAGCGAUUCAGGACACUCGACUCAAACGAGCGGAUCAACAGAUGUAUGCAUGCCCCCGGGAACAUCUCCUCCACCACCACUCCAUUUGAGGAGACAUUCAGUACUACAACCUCCAGCGAGUUAUCAGAUUGGAAACCGUCCUAUUUAUUCGUCAAACAUGCAGAUGAUGGGAUCAUCGACCAACUGUGUGCGGACAAGACCACCACCAGCUUAUAACACAAGUGUCGCCCAAAUGGCAGCUAGGAUGCACCGUUUAGGUAGAGCACAUUCACAUGAAGGUGUCACAUCAACAUACUAUCUACGAGAUGAUGGUGAUGAUGAUGAUGAUGAUGAAGAUGCUCAAGUGUCUGCUGUAUGACUAGUCAACUACCCAUGAUGUAAAAAAAAAAUGGCCAUGAACAUAUCAAAACAAAAAUUGCUUGUAAACAUUU
rnacentral:misc_RNA from 1 species